AACAGUACCUGACAUCAGGAAGUGUCCCCCAAAAAUCUCCCUCUCCUGUUCAACUGUCAACUCUGGCCUUCAUCCUUCUGACUUCAGAAGAGGAGCUGGAAAUGUUUGAUCUGAAGAAAUACUCUGAUUCAGAGGAGGGUCUUCUGAGGUCGCUGCCAGUGGUCAAAGCCUCCAAAACAUCUCUACCAGAGGCAGCAAGGGGUGAAAAGAUGUCCACCCCUCCUCCUUGGUCACUUGGUACGACCCGGCAACACACUUUCUCCCAGAAGUCCCUGGUGUCGGUGACCAGCACACUGCACUCUGAUAGGCUGACAACUAGAAGGUCAAAAGACCAGAGGCAGCGAGGGGGGAAAAGAUGUCCACCCCUCCUCCUUGGUCACUUGGUACGACAAGAAAAACACAAUGAGGGAUAUGGCUGUUUUAGUGAUGUGGUUGACAUGGUGUGAAUGAUUGCAACUGUUUGUUCCUCUGAAUUCUGAAUACUCAGUUGGCAAA
ensembl:lncRNA